rnacentral:tRNA from 1 species
GAGGGUGUAGCUCAGGGGCAGAGCCCGUGCCUUGCGUACAUGAGGUCCUGGGUUCCAUUCCCAGCACUGCCC